CCAAUGGCGUAUAUUAAAGUUGUUACAGUUAAAAAGCUCGUAGUUGAAUUUUGGGAUCAAUGGGUUGGUCAUGCCCUCGGUAUGUACUGAUUUCAUUGGUUCUCACCUUCUAAGGAACCAUGAUGUCAUUCGUUUGAUGUUGUGGGGAAUUAGGAAUGUUACCUUGAAAAAAUUAGAGUGUUUAAAGCAGGAUAACGUAUGAAUACAUUAGCAUGGAUUAAUGAAAUAGGACAUCCGAUUCUAUUUUGUUGGUUUUUAGGAUCGAUGUAAUGAUUAAUAGGGAUAGUUGGAGGCAUUAGUAUUCAAUUGUCAGAGGUGAAAUUCUUGGAUUUAUUGAAGACUAACUACUGCGAAAGCAUUUGCCAAGGAUGUUUUCAUUAAUCAAGAACGAAAGUUAGAGGAUCGAAGACGAUCAGAUACCGUCGUAGUCUUAACCAUAAACUAUGCCGACUAGGGAUCGGAUGAUGCUUAUUUUUAAUGACUCAUUCGGCACCUUACG
rnacentral:rRNA from 1 species